rnacentral:rRNA from 1 species
GGGUUAAGUCCCGCAACGAGCGCAACCCUUGCCUUUAGUUGCCAGCAGUUCGGCUGGGCACUCUAAAGGGACUGCCGGUGUUAAACCGGAGGGAGGUGGGGAUGACGUCAAGUCCUCAUGGCCUUUAUGACCAGGGCUACACACGUACUACAAUGGCCGAUACAAAGGGCAGCGACACUGCGAGGUGAAGCCAAUCCCGUAAAAUCGGUCUCAGUCCGGAUUGGAGUCUGCAACUCGACUCCAUGAAGUUGGAAUCGCUAGUAAUCGUGGAUCAGCAUGCCACGGUGAAUACGUUCCCGGGCCUU